ensembl:lncRNA novel transcript
GCGGGCUGGGGACCGUGCACCGCUUUGCGCGCCAGACGAUGCAUCUUCUGGAACGGCAGCUGAGAAUCAGAGGGACCCUGAGCUUGUUUUCCUGCAACUAGAUGGUCCCAUCUGGGGGUGAUGGGAGACAGUGACAGAUCAUCAGGCCUUGGAUUCUCAUAAGAAGCACGCAACCUAGAUCCCUCACAUGUGCCGUUCACAACAGGUUUCAUGCUCUUGUGCACAUCCAAUGGUUCCUAAAGGGCCACAGACCGGUACUGGUCCUUGGCCCAGGGGUUGAGGACCCCUGUUCUAUAAGGUCGGGAGAGAGGCCUCAGAAGAAACCAACCCUGCCGAGACACCUUGAUCUCAGACUUCAGCCUCCAGAACUGCGCGGUGAUGCGUUCCUGUUGAAGGCACUCUGACCGCAGUGGCUUGCCGUGGCAGCCCUCGACAACAAAUACAGGGUCUGUUGAACCAAAUGAAUCCAAAAUGUAUGCCCAAAGAUAGCCGCCAGGUCUAUGAAAACACCUGCUCUGAUAUGAGGGGACGUGGACCACAGAGUCUCCGGUAUGUCAUUAUCAGCAGUGUGAAAAUGGACUCACUCCCACCCUGUCUGGAUCUGGACAAGAGCCCACCACCCCGUUGGCAGUAGUCAGGCAGCUCUGCUUCUAAGAACCUGCAGCUUUUGGAAGAAAGGCACCCUGUGGUUUCAGAAGCCCAAGAGUCCCUGCAGCUCAGCACCCCCAGCCUGGUGCUUGGCAGAUGACUGCCUCCUCACUUAGCAGAGGGAGCAGAAAACUGUGUAUUCUUCAGAACAUCAUGAUAACCUGGCACUCAUGGGUCUAUGGAGAGAAUUCAGGGGGUCUGGGAGCUUGGAUGGAAUAAAUUUGCAUCUUUAUUUUCAGGAAAGUUUUACUGAAGUUUAGCAUUUUCUUUCAUUAUAAAUGGAAUCAGUAUAACCCAAUAGUAUGAGCAGUUACUUCUCCGCAACAUCAAAGUGGCUGCAGAUAUCUCAAAAUAGUAUUUACAUUUAUCAUAACUUAGAAAUUUGGGUGGUAAUUAAACCAGCAACUAUUCUUUGUUUAAUGCAUUAAGAAAGAAGUAUGUAUACUAUCAUAUCUCAAUUAAAAAUAUUUUAAGAAC